rnacentral:lncRNA from 1 species
CCUUCAUAAAAAAAUAAAAUUGGAUUAAUUACACUAUACAUUCUAAACUAUUGGUUAAAUUCUAAAUUUGUCCCUAAAUUUUAUAAUAUUUUAAUUGAAACUUUAAAUUAAGGUACUAUUUCAAUCAAAUCCUUCUAUCAGUCUAACUAUCUACUUCGGUGUUAAAUGCAAAGAUUGGUGUUAACACUAGUGCCUAAACUGUUGUUCCAAUAGGGUCGGAAGCGUGUAAAUUAUUGUACUAAAAAAUCACACAAAGUUCAAUUCCCAGGGAAGAGAGGUGGAUCACAUGGAUCUCUUAAAUACCAAGUCUUUCCUUAGUCAGAAUAUCCCUUCUAUAGUAAUUUAAUAGCACAAUUAAAUACUACUAUUAUACCCUCAAAUAUUGAAAGAAAAAUAGGACAAAAAGAACAUAAGAGUUUUAACGAGGUUCGGUAAAUUAUAC